AUGAGGCGACUCACAGCCUGAGUUGUAGAUGUCACGCUAGGCUGCGUAACCAAAGAAUAAAAAAGGCAUGCUUCUACCUCUGGAAACAAAAAUAAUAUAGAACCAGAAUCAACUUUAUUGGCCAGAUGUGUCUAACACACGAGGAAUUUGACUGUGGUACAUAUGCUCUCAAUGUGUAUGUACGUAUCCCCCUGCAAGAGGCAUAUAUUCCUAUAGAGCACAGUUUGGUAAAACAAGUUCGGUAUGACCUGAUACAGUUUGUGACUUUCAGUGGCUGCCAAUGCGUAGCCGCAAAUUUAAAAUGACUAUUUUGUAGUUAUUGUUACAAAUUGUGACACAAAUGGGUCACAUUUCGCCGCCUAAGCCUCCUACUGUUUUACUUUGCUGCGGUGCUGCUGCCACUGCUCCUGCGAAGAAGCUAAAAGUAUGAUUACAUGGCUUCAGAAGGACUUUGAGGAAAUAUUUGUUUGAACCGAGCUCCCUGCUGCGACCGCCACCACUCAGUGACUCGGUUCAUCUGUCGACUGUCAACUGUGGGCCUGAAACACCUAAAACAGCCUGGAAGUUGGCGUUUGCUGUAGCUCUUGUCACAACUCAGCACCGCAACCUCUUCUAAAGUGCAGUGAGAUAGUCUGCCUUCACUUCAAUAAGUCAGGACAGGAGUUUUCCUGUUUGAGACCUUGACUUCUCUCCCCAAGGGUUUACAGCUGAGAUGUCAAGAGAUCACUGCUUUGCUUCAGCAAGGGCCUGGAUAACUUCACCUGACACUGAACAUGAACUCCCACUGGGGCUGAGAACUCUGUGGCUGUGAAGUCUGGCUGGGUGCUAGAGUGGCCUUGGGCACAGUGAGAAGCUAUAUCAGGAUUUGAUCCAAUCCCAGGUAGUGAAGUUGUUGCACUGGAAUCGUCCUUGACCAAGACACUGGACAUGCAGACCUUAGGGUUAAACAUCAACAUAUUCUUCUUCAGUGAUAAUGGUGCUGUGAGGGGUAACUGUGGAGGGGGCCUAAAGGAGUACAAACCUGUAAGCAUUAGUGGUUUGUGAUUUCAAAGCUAAUUUAACUUAAACUGCACUGUAAACAUUUGAUAAAUGUGCGUUUUUGGCUCCAACCUUUGCGGUAUCAUUAAACA